rnacentral:misc_RNA from 1 species
GAUGAGUCACAUUAUUCAUAAAAAUAAUUAACAGCAGGUUAAAUAUGAAGAAAUCUCCUUGAUAGAUUCUAAAAGAAUCAAUACAAACCGAAGCGAAGUCAAUAAAAUGCAAACAUAAAAGAAGAAACUGAUCUCGACCGAUGCAUGACUCUCAUUUCCGGGAAAUGUUUGUCAGCCGCCAAGCCACGAUUUUCAGAUGGUAAAAUCCGAGCUACCGCUGCCUCGACAGCCCGCUACUCUGCGGCCUGUUCGGUGCUUGGACCUUUGUCACCUCCGUCCACCAGAAUCCUAUAUACGUAGAACGCUAAAACUGCUCCGCUGACAAGGGUCUUUAAAAUAGAUGGAAAUGAGUGCACCCGAGAAAAUACCCGCCAC